AUAAAUGCUUUGAUAAGAAAUAGUAGCAGAAGGAAAGCUAACAGAGAGAAAUCCUCAUUGGCUGAAAGGGAUUUUAAGUGGAACUUCUGUGAAUGCAUCUUUGAGCACUGCUUCGAAAGAGUAGUAUUCUCUAGUAGACAGCAGCAGGUACGCCUGUUAUAGCGUUAAGGUAUAAGAAGGAUUUCUAGAUAAUCCAAUAUAAAGAAAUCCCAUGUACCGAUGUAAAGGAGAUAUCCUGUAGCCUAAAGACUAUGGGAUAAUUAGAGUGGAACCGCGGAAUAAACUUCUGCCUCUAUG
rnacentral:ncRNA from 1 species